rnacentral:rRNA from 1 species
CGGUGGAGGUAUGUGGUUAAUUCGAUGCAACGCGAAGAACCUUACCUGGUCUUGACAUCCCGGAGACCCUUAGGAAACUAGGGGGUGCUUCCAUCUGGAAGAAUCUGGAGACAGGUGCUGCAUGGCUGUCGUCAGCUCGUGUCGUGAGAUGUUGGGUUAAGUCCCGCAACGAGCGCAACCCUUGCCUUUAGUUGCCAGCAGUUCGGCUGGGCACUCUAAAGGGACUGCCGGUGUUAAACCGGAGGAAGGUGGGGAUGACGUCAAGUCCUCAUGGCCUUUAUGACCAGGGCUACACACGUACUACAAUGGCCGAUACAAAGGGCAGCGACACUGCGAGGUGAAGCCAAUCCCGUAAAAUCGGUCUCAGUCCGGAUUGGAGUCUGCAACUCGACUCCAUGAAGUUGGAAUCGCUAGUAAUCGUGGAUCAGCAUGCCACGGUGAAUACGUUCCCGGGCCUU